rnacentral:rRNA from 3 species
CAAUCAAACCGGGAGAUAGCUGGUUCUCCCCGAAAGCUAUUUAGGUAGCGCCUCGUGAAUUCAUCUCCGGGGGUAGAGCACUGUUUCGGCUAGGGGGCCAUCCCGGCUUACCAACCCGAUGCAAACUGCGAAUACCGGAGAAUGUUAUCACGGGAGACACACGGCGGGUGCUAACGUCCGUCGUGAAGAGGGAAACAACCCAGACCGCCAGCUAAGGUCCCAAAGUCAUGGUUAAGUGGGAAACGAUGUGGGAAGGCCCAGACAGCCAGGAUGUUGGCUUAGAAGCAGCCAUCAUUUAAAGAAAGCGUAAUAGCUCACUGGUCGAGUCGGCCUGCGCGGAAGAUGUAACGGGGCUAAACCAUGCACCGAAGCUGCGGCAGCGAACGUAUCACCCAAGACAACUUUACGGAGUUGACGAUUGACGGAGCGAAGCGACGUCAAAGCGUUCAUUAAAGUCGAGUUGGCUUAGGGAUACGUUCGUUGGGUAGGGGAGCGUUCUGUAAGCCUGUGAAGGUGUGUCGUGAGGCAUGCUGGAGGUAUCAGAAGUGCGAAUGCUGACAUAAGUAACGAUAAAGCGGGUGAAAAGCCCGCUCGCCGGAAGACCAAGGGUUCCUGUCCAACGUUAAUCGGGGCAGGGUGAGUCGACCCCUAAGGCGAGGCCGAAAGGCGUAGUCGAUGGGAAACGGGUUAAUAUUCCCGUACUUGGUGUUACUGCGAAGGGGGGACGGAGAAGGCUAUGUUGGCCGGGCGACGGUUGUCCCGGUUUAAGCGUGUAGGUGUGUGUUCCAGGUAAAUCCGGUUCACUUUAACACUGAGGCGUGACGACGAGGCACUACGGUGCUGAAGCAACAAAUGCCCUGCUUCCAGGAAAAGCCUCUAAGCAUCAGGUAACAUCAAAUCGUACCCCAAACCGACACAGGUGGUCAGGUAGAGAAUACCAAGGCGCUUGAGAGAACUCGGGUGAAGGAACUAGGCAAAAUGGUGCCGUAACUUCGGGAGAAGGCACGCUGACACGUAGGUGAAGUGAUUUACUCAUGGAGCUGAAGUCAGUCGAAGAUACCAGCUGGCUGCAACUGUUUAUUAAAAACACAGCACUGUGCAAACACGAAAGUGGACGUAUACGGUGUGACGCCUGCCCGGUGCCGGAAGGUUAAUUGAUGGGGUCAGCGCAAGCGAAGCUCCUGAUCGAAGCCCCGGUAAACGGCGGCCGUAACUAUAACGGUCCUAAGGUAGCGAAAUUCCUUGUCGGGUAAGUUCCGACCUGCACGAAUGGCGUAAUGAUGGCCAGGCUGUCUCCACCCGAGACUCAGUGAAAUUGAACUCGCUGUGAAGAUGCAGUGUACCCGCGGCAAGACGGAAAGACCCCGUGAACCUUUACUAUAGCUUGACACUGAACAUUGAGCCUUGAUGUGUAGGAUAGGUGGGAGGCUUUGAAGUGUGGACGCCAGUCUGCAUGGAGCCGACCUUGAAAUACCACCCUUUAAUGUUUGAUGUUCUAACGUGGACCCGUAAUCCGGGUUGCGGACAGUGUCUGGUGGGUAGUUUGACUGGGGCGGUCUCCUCCUAAAGAGUAACGGAGGAGCACGAAGGUUGGCUAAUCCUGGUCGGACAUCAGGAGGUUAGUGCAAUGGCAUAAGCCAGCUUGACUGCGAGCGUGACGGCGCGAGCAGGUGCGAAAG